CACGUGGGGUGAAGUGAAAGGUCGUGAAAAUAGAUGCAUUAUUCAAUGCCUAUGGGAUAAACACGAGAUUGAAAAAGGCUCGUCCCGCUCUCUCACUCGGCCAACAUCUCCGCCGCGCCGGAGGCUUCCUCGGCGGCAGUUUCCAGAAAUCAGCGACACUACCAUCAACUUAUUCGUCUCGAGAUCCUCUAACCGAAUACACAAAAUAAAGUUCCUAAUUCCCCAAGAAUCUCCCAAAUCGAAGGGAGAACCCUAAAUCCCAAUUCCUAAAUUAAAUGACGAUCGAACCCCAUCUCGAUUCAAAAUCAAAGGGUUAAUCGUCCUCGACCUCUCAACAAUCUUUUGAUAACGUAAAUUAGUGAAUAAAGGGAUGAAAUCGAGAAGACCUACCGGUGUUGAAAUCUCAGGGAUAGUAAUUGGAUAUGUUUCAAGGCAGUUUGUACUGCCGGCUUGGAAACGCAAGGAGAUCUGUGGUUUUAAUGCGGCCGUGCAAGCUUCAUGUGCAGCUCCUUCAUUUGUGGCAUAUAUGAAUGAUCACUUGCUGAGGCCAUGACUGAUUAGUAGUACUGCCAUCAAUUUGUAAUCACAUUAACAAAACCUUACACCGUGCAUUUCUCUCAACAACGCCCUAUGGUAAAGCGCGGACUCGUCAUGGAACGUGAGCAUUGGGAGCUGUUACGUGUGCAUUGCAGGCCUGUAUUAUGAACCGUCGUUGGCCUUGACUUAGAAUGUGUACGGUGUACUGGCUGGCUGUUGCAGAACUGGUUUUAUCAGCUUUGCAAGUUCACCGUAUUUCUGCGUUUCCAGCUGCAACAGAGUCGCGCUUCGGUUGCAGAUUUGCAGUUUGAACAUGCCGUUGUCGUUCCACAUGCUGUCGGUUUUCGUAUACAUCCUGCUGUUGUUUGUGGCCGACUGCUACGGUUUUGUUUGCGGCGGGGUUGGCUUCAUGAGCAAGAUGAAGUUGGUGCUUUGGUGAUGAUCUGUUAGAUUACUUGGUGGAUGGUUUAUUUUAAAAUGUGCAGAGCGAAAUUGUUUCUAAACCGAUGAAUUGGAAAUAAUUGUUUAUUGUUUUUAACGGUGUUUUGAUGUUAAGCUAUUACUCAAACGGAUCAUUAAUGCAGGUUUGAUUCCGUCGGUUUUGCAGGUUUUUGGUUGUGCACUUCAUGGAUUAAUUUGUUAGGGAUGAACCAUGCCGUGAAUUUGGGCGAUGAACCAAGCUAUAAGAAGUUGGAUUAUUAACAUGCUUGGGUGUAUACUGUUGUGAAUCAAGGAUGACUUGGUUAUUGUUUAUGAACCGUGAAUUAUGCGUUGGAGCACUUGGUAGGUCUUGGAUGAUGGACAUGCCAUGUCUAAAAAUGGUUUUCUUCUUGGUAUUAUAGGUGAUUUGUGGAGGAAGCGGCUCGGCUUUGAAGGAAAUGAAGGUGGCGGAUGUUACUGUUUGGGAAUUUGGGUUAGGUGUUAGAACAUAGGCCACAAGUUCAUAUAUUUUUGUGUUUUCUUCGUGUGUAAAGCAUUAACGGUGGUUAUGCUUGGUUCUUGAUUUUGAAUGGAGAAUUAGUGAUAAUUUAGAUUGGUUAUUGUAAACUGAAACAAAAGGUUGAAUGUUGUCAUGUAAUAUUGUAUAGAUUGGUUAGGAUGGAAAGUGGUGUAAUGGUUGUAUUUAAAUGUUGAUUUUUUUAGAAAAGGAUACUGUAUGAGAAUGGUUUUGAAGUUUUAGUUCAUAAAA